CAGUAGCCGCGGUAAUACGGAGGGGGCUAGCGUUGUUCGGAAUUACUGGGCGUAAAGCGCACGUAGGCGGCUUGGUAAGUUAGAGGUGAAAGCCCGGAGCUCAACUCCGGAAUUGCCUUUAAGACUGCCGAGCUAGCAGGUGAGAGAGGUAAGUGGAAUUCCGAGUGUAGAGGUGAAAUUCGUAGAUAUUCGGAAGAACACCAGUGGCGAAGGCGACUGACUGGACAAGUAUUGACGCUGAGGUGCGAAAGCGUGGGGAGCAAACAGGAUUAGAUACCCCAGUAGUCCCUGUCUCUUAUAA
rnacentral:rRNA from 1 species